rnacentral:ncRNA from 1 species
GCGGUCUCGUGAGAGCCAAGAGGGAAACAGGUGCAAAUCCUGUGCAGACCCGCUGCUGUAUGUUCCGUUAAUCACCUUACAGAUGCCAUUGGCGCUCAGUCGCUGAGAAGGUGUAAGGUAGUAGGAACGAGCCAGAAGACCUGCCGCAGA